GAUGAACGCUGGCGGCGUGCCUAAUACAUGCCAGUCGAGCGAACGGACGAGAAGCUUGCUCUUCUGAUGUUAGCGGCGGACGGGUGAGUAACACGUGGAUAACCUACCUAUAAGACUGGGAUAACUUCGGGAAACCGGAGCUAAUACCGGAUAAUAUUUUGAACCGCAUGGUUCAAAAGUGAAAGACGGUCUUGCUGUCACUUAUAGAUGGAUCCGCGCUGCAUUAGCUAGUUGGUAAGGUAACGGCUUACCAAGGCAACGAUGCAUAGCCGACCUGAGAGGGUGAUCGGCAAACUGGGAACUGAGACCGGGUCCAGACCCCUAGGGAAGGCAGCAGAGGGAAAUCUUCCGCAAGGGGCGAAAGCCUGACGGAGCAACGCGGCGGGGGUGAUAAAGGUCUUCGGUUCGUAAAACCCUGUUAUUGGGAAAGAACAUAUGUGUAAGUAACUGUGCACAUCUGGACGGUACCUAAUCAGAAAGCCACGGCUAACUAGGU
rnacentral:rRNA from 1 species